rnacentral:rRNA from 1 species
GAUGAACGCUAGCGGCAGGCCUAACACAUGCAAGUCGAGGGGUAUAGGAAGCUUGCUUCCUUGAGACCGGCGCACGGGUGCGUAACGCGUAUGCAAUCUACCUUAUACAGGGGAAUAGCCCAGAGAAAUUUGGAUUAAUGCCCCAUAGUAUUAUAGAGUGGCCUCACUUUAUAAUUAAAGUUCCAACGGUAUAAGAUGAGCAUGCGUCCCAUUAGUUAGUUGGUAAGGUAACGGCUUACCAAGACGAUGAUGGGUAGGGUCCUGAGAGGGAGAUCCCCCACACUGGUACUGAGACACGGACCAGACUCCUACGGGAGGCAGCAGUGAGGAAUAUUGGUCAAUGGGGCGCAAGCCCUGAACCAGGCCAUGCCGCGUGCAGGAAUAAGGUCUUAUGGAUUGUAAACUGCUUUUAUACAGGAAGAAACCCUCCACGUGUGGGAUAUUGACGGUACUGUAUGAAUAAGGAUCGGCUAACUCCGUGCCAGCAGCCGCGGU